rnacentral:tRNA from 7 species
GCCUUGGUGGUGGAAUUGGUAGACACGCAGGACUUAAAAUCCUGUGUCCAUUAGGACGUGCGGGUUCAAGUCCCGCCUGAGGUACAA